AUCUGGUUGAUCCUGCCAGUAGUCAUACGCUCAAGUCAAAGAUUAACCCAUGCAUGUGCAAGUAUAAACAUUUAUACUGUGAAACUGCGAACGGCUCAUUAUAUCAGCUAUAGUCUAUUUGGUAAUGUCUACUACUUGGAUACUCGUAGUAAUUCUAGGGUCAAUACAUGCAUAAAUGCCCAACUUUUCGGACGGGCAGUAUUUAUUUGAUAUAAACCAAUCGCUUCUGGCGUUUUGUGGUGAUUCAAAGUAACUAAGCGGACCGCAGUGCCUUUUGGCGGCGGUGGACCAUUCGAGUUUCUGCCCUAUCAGUUGUCGUAGGUAGUGUAUUGGACUACCUAGACCUUUACGGGUGACGGAGAAUUGGGGUUCGAUUCCGGAGAAGAAGCCUGAGAGACGGCUACUACAUCCAAGGAAGGCAGCAGGGGCGCAAAUUACCCAAUGGUGACACGCCGAGGUAGUGACAACCAAUAUCGUUGCGGAGCCCUUAUGGGUUUUGCUAUGAAAUGAGUGCAAUCUAAAAUACUCAACGAGGAUCAAUUGGAGGGCAAGUCUGGUGCCAGCAGCCGCGGUAAUUCCAGCUCCGUUAGCGUAUAUUAAAUUUGUUGCAGUUAAAAAGCUCG
rnacentral:rRNA from 1 species